rnacentral:tRNA from 1 species
GGUAGUUUAGCUUAAUGGUAAAGCACUCAGUCAGAGUCUUUGAGGGAUGUGGCUUCAAGUCCCAUGACUGUUA